GCCAGAUGAAGGGUAGCAGGGCUGGCCGCAUUGAGGAAGCAGGGAAGAUCACUGGCCAAUUUCUACCUGCAGACACCGCACGCUUUCCCGAUGGAUGCAAAGAGCAUCGCAGUCGUGUGCCUGUGAUACCGGUUCCAGUUCCCGUUUGAAAAAGAAGAUCCUAGACAAGGAGCAAAAUAUAUUUGCGUGCACCGAGAGUCCUGUCACUCUUUGUUCAACAGCUUGCACACGCUGGCACUGCCCCCAACAUCCAUCCCAUCUACCCCCUCUGUGAUGCAACAUACGGCUUAG